GACAGAGGGUGCAAACGUUGUUCGGAAUUACUGGGCGUAAAGCGCGUGUAGGCUGCUCCGAAAGUCGGAUGUGAAAGCCCUGGGCUCAACCUAGGAAGUGCACUCGAAACUUCGGAGCUGGAGUCCUGGAGAGGAAGGCGGAAUUCUCGGUGUAGAGGUGAAAUUCGUAGAUAUCGAGAGGAACACCGGUGGCGAAGGCGGCCUUCUGGACAGUGACUGACGCUGAGACGCGAAAGCGUGGGGAGCAAACAGG
rnacentral:rRNA from 1 species